rnacentral:lncRNA from 1 species
ACAAAGUGAGAAGAAUACCGAAAAUCGUAAGAAGCUUAAAGUCCCACAUGCUGGUGGUAGUAGGAGCAACGCAAGAAGGGGUCGUCUAAUGGUAAGCAGAUUCAAAAUAUUUAUGUAUCCCAACAAAGCUGUUAUUGAUGAGUUCUUAAUUUACAUUUUAUUUAUGAUGUUAGGAACAACAAUUAGGAAGGCCUGUAUGUCGAAGCGAGGUUAUUUUGUCAACUUUAAUAAAGAAUGAUGGAAAUUAUGUGAACGAAGAAGGAAAAGCAAUAGUUGUAAGUAUACUUUUGGGUGUGUUAAGUUGAUUAAAUGUUGUGCAUGUAGUAUAAGAGUUACACAUUGUUGAAAUAUUCUGCGAACUGAUUACAAAAUCAAAAUUCUG